rnacentral:rRNA from 1 species
AUUGAACGCUGGCGGCAUGCCUUACACAUGCAAGUCGAACGGUAACAGGUUUUCGGAUGCUGACGAGUGGCGAACGGGUGAGUAAUACAUCGGAACGUGCCUAGUAGUGGGGGAUAACUACUCGAAAGAGUGGCUAAUACCGCAUGAGAUCUACGGAUGAAAGCAGGGGAUCGCAAGACCUUGUGCUACUAGAGCGGCCGAUGGCAGAUUAGGUAGUUGGUGGGAUAAAAGCUUACCAAGCCGACGAUCUGUAGCUGGUCUGAGAGGACGAUCAGCCACACUGGGACUGAGACACGGCCCAGACUCCUACAGGAGGCAGCAGUGGGGAAUUUUGGACAAUGGGCGAAAGCCUGAUCCAGCAAUGCCGCGUGCAGGAUGAAGGCCUUCGGGUUGUAAACUGCUUUUGUACGGAACGAAAAGCCCCGGGUUAAUACCUUGGGGUCAUGACGGUACCGUAAGAAUAAGCACCGGCUAACUACGUGCCAGCCGCCGCGGUAA